GUUUGCAACUUGGUUUCAACAUCCAAUCACGCCAUCAGCCCAUUGAAAACAUUAGGUCACGUCAGCUAGUUUCCUAUCCAUUUAUUUUAUUAUCCAUGAUAAUACGAAAGCCGCAUAACGCUAUCUACCAGAUUUUUUCCACCGUUCUAAAAUGGUUCGUUGAUUGGUAUAACCCGGAUUAAACUUUAGUACUUAUAUUAGUUAAAAUUUUGUUUUAUUAAUUGUGAGGUUCAUGCAUAUCCGUAAUUUUAUAACUUUUCAAGCAAUUUUAUAAAGAUUGAAAAAAUAUGCACUGCCCAGUGGAUAGCGCUAUUCGGCCUUCGUACACAACUGUCCCCUUUCUAGAAUAUUCUGCCUUCGUACACAACUGUCCCCUUUCUAGAAUAUUCGGCCUUCGUACACAACUGGGGCCGGUUGUAUCAAUUCCGUUUAGCUUAAACGGUGGAUAAGUCAAAAUUAAAUAACUCUCUUAUAUCUCUCGUGAAUCAGUUAACUUAAAUAUUGUGCACUGAAUAUGUACUUGUAAACAAUAUCGUUCUAUUGAGGUUCAAAACUUUUAGUUUGGUUGUUGAAUGAACCUAUAAACUCGCUUUCUAUUUUGAGCUUAACCACCGUUUAAGCUAAACGGGCCAUUCUCGUACCCAGAGCCCAUCUUACGCGCGGUCAACGGAGCGCGACGAGGGGCUCUGGCCAAAUCCAUAUCAAACUGGCAUCUUAUUG